rnacentral:misc_RNA from 1 species
UGGUGUUGUCAUGGAACCUCACCUUAACUAAACAAAACUUGUUUAAGAAAUACUUCCUUUGCAUUUUAUACAUUUUUUUAUCAUAAAAAAAAAACAUGCAAUGUUUUCUUGCGUUGGUGCAUGUGUUUGUGCAUAAGUGUUAAGGAACCAAAAAUAAAGAAUACAUUAAUACAAUCACAAAAUUAAUAUUAAAUAAAAUGCAGCAACCUCUCAGACUAUUCUACCUCAGCCAAGUUAUCUUCUG